rnacentral:rRNA from 1 species
UGACGAGUGGCGGACGGGUGAGUAAUGCUUGGGAAUCUGUCUUAUGGAGGGGGAUAACCAUGGGAAACUGUGGCUAAUACCGCGUAUAAUCGAGAGAUGAAAGGGUGGGAUCGCAAGACCACCUGCCAUAGGGUGAGCCCAAGUGGGAUUAGGUAGUUGGUAAGGUAAAGGCUUACCAAGCCGUCGAUCUCUAACUGGUCUGAGAGGAUGACCAGUCACACUGGGACUGAGACACGGCCCAG